rnacentral:rRNA from 1 species
GAUGAACGCUGACGGAAUGCUUAACACAUGCAAGUCGAUGGGGCAGUGGUGCUUGCACCAUGGUAACCAUGGCGGACGGGUGAGUAACGCGUAAGGAACUUACCUGCGUGACCGGGAUAACAGCAGUAAACUGCUGACAAGACCGGAUAAGGUCAUUAAUCUGCAUAGCUUAGUGAUGAAAGGAGACGCUUGUGGAGAGCCUUGCGUACUAUUAGCCAGUUGGAGGGUUAACUGCCCACCAAGGCGAAGAUAGGUAGCCGGCCUGAGAGGGUGGACGGCCACAAGUGGACUGAGAGACGGCCCUUACGACUACGGGAGGCAGGAGGGGGGAAUAUUGGACCAUGGGGGCAACACUGAUGCAGCAAUUCUGUGUGCACGAAGAUGGUUUUCGGAAUGAAAAGUGCUUUCAGCAGGGAUGCAGGAAGUGACGGUACCUGCAGAAGAAGCGACGGCUAACUACGUG